CUCUGGAUAGUUCAGUUGGCAGAACGGUGGACUGUAAUUGUUAAAUAUGAUAUCCAUAUGUCGCCGGUUCAAAUCCGGCUCCGGAGA